rnacentral:rRNA from 1 species
UCCGUAGGUGGAUAAUUAAGUCAGGGGUGAAAGUCUGCAGCUCAACUGUAGAAUUGCCUUUGACACUGGUUAUCUUGAAUUAUUAUGAAGUAGUUAGAAUAUGUAGUGUAGCGGUGAAAUGCAUAGAUAUUACAUAGAAUACCAAUUGCGAAGGCAGAUUACUAAUAAUAUAUUGACACUGAUGGACGAAAGCGUGGGGAGCGAACAGGAUUAGAUACCCUGGUAGUCC